rnacentral:rRNA from 1 species
UACGGAGGGUGCGAGCGUUGUCCGGAAUUACUGGGCGUAAAGCGCACGUAGGCGGCGAUUCAAGUCAGAGGUGAAAGCCCGGGGCUCAACCCCGGAACUGCCUUUGAAACUAGAUUGCUAGAAUCCUGGAGAGGUGAGUGGAAUUCCGAGUGUAGAGGUGAAAUUCGUAGAUAUUCGGAAGAACACCAGUGGCGAAGGCGGCUCACUGGUCCGGUACUGACGCUGAGGUGCGAAAGCGUGGGGAGCAAACAGG